rnacentral:rRNA from 1 species
UGGGGAAUAUUGCACAAUGGGCGCAAGCCUGAUGCAGCCAUGCCGCGUGUGUGAAGAAGGCCUUCGGGUUGUAAAGCACUUUCAGCGGGGAGGAAGGCGGUGAGGUUAAUAACCUCAUCGAUUGACGUUACCCGCAGAAGAAGCACCGGCUAACUCCGUGCCAGCAGCCGCGGUAAUACGGAGGGUGCAAGCGUUAAUCGGAAUUACUGGGCGUAAAGCGCACGCAGGCGGUCUGUCAAGUCGGAUGUGAAAUCCCCGGGCUCAACCUGGGAACUGCAUUCGAAACUGGCAGGCUAGAGUCUUGUAGAGGGGGGUAGAAUUCCAGGUGUAGAGGUGAAAUGCGUAGAGAUCUGGAGGAAUACCGGUGGCGAAGGCGGCCCCCUGGACAAAGACUGACGCUCAGGUGCGAAAGCGUGGGGAGCAAACAGG